AGCGAACUCUGGCGGCAGGCCUAACACAUGCAAGUCGAACGAAGUCUUCGGACUUAGUGGCGGACGGGUGAGUAACACGUGGGAACGUGCCUUUAGGUUCGGAAUAACUCAGGGCAACUUGUGCUAAUACCGAAUGUGCCCUUCGGGGGCAAGAUUUAUCGCCUUUAGAGCGGCCCGCGUCUGAUUAGCUAGUUGGUGAGGUAAGGGCUCACCAAGGCGACGAUCAGUAGCUGGUCUGAGAGGAUGAGCAGCCAUAUUGGGACUGAGACACGGCCCGAACUACUACGGUAGGAAGCAGUGGGGAAUCUUGCGAAAAGGGCGAAAGCCUGACGCAGCCAUGCCGCGUGAAUGAUGCAGGUCUUAGGAUUGUAAAAUUCUUUCUCCGGGGACGAUAAUGACGGUACCCGGAGAAGAAGCCCCGGCUAACUUCGUGCCAGCCGCCGCGGUAA
rnacentral:rRNA from 1 species